rnacentral:rRNA from 1 species
GGCGCACGGGUGAGUAACACGUGAAUGACAUGCCCUUGAGUGGGGGAUAGCCCAGGGAAACUUGGAUUAAUACCCCAUGGUAUCGCGAGAUUAAAGGUGGCCGCAAGGCUGUCGCUCAAGGAUUGGUUCGCGCCCUAUCAGCUUGUUGGCGAGGUAACGGCUCACCAAGGCUACGACGGGUACCUGGUUUGAGAGGACGAUCAGGCACACUAGAACUGAGACACGGUCCAG